rnacentral:tRNA from 1 species
GGGCAAUUAAUCUAAAAAAGAUAAUUGAUUUCGGCUCAGUAAAUUGUGGUUAAACUCCACAAUUGCCCU